CGUAGGGGCAAGCGUUAUCCGGAUUUACUGGGUGUAAAGGGAGCGUAGACGGCGCGGCAAGUCUGAAGUGAAAGGCAGGGGCUUAACCCCUGAACUGCUUUGGAAACUGCCAUGCUAGAGUGCUGGAGAGGUAAGUGGAAUUCCUAGUGUAGCGGUGAAAUGCGUAGAUAUUAGGAGGAACACCAGUGGCGAAGGCGGCUUACUGGACAGUAACCGACGUUGAGGCUCGAAAGCGUGGGGAGCAAACAGGAUU
rnacentral:rRNA from 1 species